AGGAUGUUUUCAUUGAUCAAGAACGAAAGUAAGGGGAUCGAAGACGAUCAGAUACCGUCGUAGUCUUUACUAUAAACGAUGAGGACUGGGGAUCGGGCGAGGAAUUACGAUGACCCGCCCGGCACCCUCCGGGAAACCAAAGUGUUUGCUUUCUGGGGGGAGUAUGGUCGCAAGUCUGAAACUUAAAGGAAUUGACGGAAGGGCAUCACCGGGUGUGGAGCCUGCGGCUUAAUUUGACUCAACACGGGAAAACUUACCAGGUCAGGAUAUAGGGAGGAUUAACAGAUUGAGAGCUCUUUUUUGAUUCUAUAGUUGGUGGUGCAUGGCCGUUCUUAGUUGGUGGAGCGAUUUGUCUGGUUAAUUCCGUUAACGAGCGAGACCUGGGCGUGCUAAAUAGGGGCCUCUACCAUUUUGGUAGUGAGAUUUCCCUUCUUAGACGGACUGUGGGCGUCUAGUCCACGGAAGCUCCAGGCAAUAACAGGUCUGAGAUGCCCUUAGAUGUUCUGGGCCGCACGCGUGCUACACUGAGUGGAUCAGCGGGUCAGGUUACGCGAGAGUGUUUCCUAAUCUUAAAAUCCGCUCGUGAUGGGGAUUGACGGUUGCAAUUUUCUGUCAUGAACGAGGAAUACCUUGUAAGCAUGGGUCAUCAUCCCGUGCUGAAUACGUCCCUGCCCUUUGUACACACCGCCCGUCGCUCCUACCGAUUGAGUGGUCCGGUGAGGCUUUGGGAUUGCGAUGGAAAGAGCGUUUCGCUCGUUCUGUUGUGAGAACUCAGUCGAACCUUAUCA
rnacentral:rRNA from 1 species